rnacentral:rRNA from 1 species
GGUGAACAGAUCCAUGGUAAGAAAAUGCCAGAAAUGGCAAGUGGCAGCAACUCGGUUGAAAUUCAGGAGGAAUUACAGGGAAAUAAUGGGAAAGGAAAAAAUAGGGAGCUGAUGAA